AUUCGGCAGCGGCCGGACUCGAGAUUGACGGCCCAGGCCCCGCCCUGCCGCCCCACCGGCCCGCCCGGGCCCUAGUGGGUGGGCGCAGCCUCUGGCGCUUCUUCGGGAUCCCAGCUGACCAGCUGGGGGUGGGGCGUGGCGGAGUGGCCACGUGGGCCGCGCGGAGAACGCGCCAGGCUCAUCACCUGGAUCAUCGUGCCUCAGUUUCCCCCUCGGCAAAUGGGGCUUCAGCGGCUCGCGACGCACAUUGAUGGAGCGUAUGUCCAGGCGCCGGUGCACCGCAAGGAGCAAAACAGACACAGUUCUUGGUCCUAGGGCUCACGUCCCGGGGCGAAGAGGAUCCUCCAUAAACGAUCAGCCAUAGCAGCUGUGAUUGGACAAGAGACUGAUUUCAGUGACUUUCUCCUAAUAAGAGACCACCGACCAGCUGACCAUGCCGACCAGCUGACCCGUUAAUAGAGAGAGAUGAUGCACCUGCAUGCCUUUGUGUCCUGAAAAGACGUUUUGCCAUAAAGGCCCUAAUUGUAAGAUGUGUAAAUGUUAAGUCUCCACCCCAAAGUGAACAUGGGUCAUAUAUUACAUGCUUUGCUCAAUAAGAGGGCAUGUGUCAGGACCACCUUCAUGAAUAUUCAUAGCUCCUCCUGUUACCUGUUGAAUAUGUAUGUUUAGCCAAUCCCUUCAGCAUAGCGCUCCUGCCCCAACCCCUCCUCCUUGGACGUGCCUGUCUCUGGCCUUGGCUGGAGACAGAUUCCCAGCCUCAGACAGAUGGCCGCCACCUUGCAGGCUACGACCGUUUACAAGAAAUAAAGCCUUCUCUUUUUCCAAA